CCCCUCUCAGGGUGACACCUGGAGAGUUUCCAGAACUCUACCAGUCUUGGCUAAGGGAAAGAAAGUCAAGCAGAGACUUACCCAUUCCAUUCCAAGCUUGGGCAGUGGCUAGCAAGUGGAAGGCAAUUUGCUACAAGU